AAGGUAUUUGUUGUCCUUUGCUCUGGGAAAAUGGGCGCUGUACAUAACAGCCCCCUGGAGCUUCAGUCAUCACCAGGAGCUGUGCUGGAACACAGCAGGAAGCAAUUCUGCCCCCCACCUGCCUGUCCCACCCCUACUCCAGCUGUGCCUAACUAAGGGGAGGGUCCAGGGAGGCCAGCCGUGGCUUUAGUGCAUCCUCCCUUCCCCAUCAAGGCCCAGCUACCAGCACUUCCCUGCCCCGUGGGAUUUAGUAAACAGAGCUCUUUACAGACUCAAGAAUUUGUCACUGAUUUUCUGGCAUAGGACAACUGUAAACAGACGAAUAUUUGAGAUACCGUGGGAGCAUAAACACAGAGCCUCACUCAGCAGAGAUCAUUCACAGGUUUCACUUGUGCUGUUAUUUCAAAAGUCUGUUGCUGUAGAUCUUGGUUAUAGCUCGUUUCCGUGUGCCUGUGUACACAUGUGUGCCAACAGGCUCUGUGGUUCCAGAACACCUGGGCUGUGAGUGUGCAACCACAAAUAUCCUAACUUGAGUUAGGUCUUGGGAAUAAUUAAGGAUCAAUAUGUCAGAAGUCUUCAUGCCAUGAAUGUUGUUGGUCCACUAGCUAUUGCACUGGGACUGUACUCGGCAAUAUUUUGGUCUCUUAUUUUAAGGAAAUCCACAGCUGUCUCGCUGACGGCAAGUGCAGAGGAGAGGUGUUCCCUGCUGUAGUGGCACAAGAAGACAGCCGGAACAGGAUUUCCUAGGAAGUCAAAACGUGACACCAAAAUGAUAGCAGGAAGGACUGCUCAGUGCUGGAAGAUCUCAUCCUGCCUGCUCACAGUGCUGACUGUGCUCCUGCUUUAUGAGAAGACGGGGAAAGAAAGAUGGAGGAAGAGGAGAUGAGAAGAUAUGGAUGGAAAAUAAUACACUUCUCACUGCAAACUUAGAAGGGACCAAGACAUGCCCCUCUUGCGGGCCUUCUCCCUCACUCCCAUUUUUUCAAGUAAUAUCCUUCAUGGAAGAGCUCCUGUACAUCACUGAAUCCAAGUGUGGGCACAACUGCAGAUGGCUCUAAAGACAUGCCGUUUGAAGGGUAUUUAUAUUAUCAGUGUGAUGUAUAGAAACCCAAAUCUACGUGAUGUUCUGAUUUCUUUGGUGAUAAUAUGUCACUGUGUUUCACACUAGCAUUUUCUAUGAAAUUACUGUAAGCAUAAAAUAUUGAGAUUUCAUUUACAAAUAAAUGUGAUAUUAGAAAGUAACAAUAAUAAAGAUAUAUUAAAUAUUUCAUCUUCUAGAGAAAUAAACCAGAUACAGUUCAGGGAGCUUCGCUAAACACAUUAAAUCUAAUAAAAUCGCCUACAUGUACUCCUGACACUAGUAGUAAUUAAAAUAACUUGUUUCAAAAAAUUGGUCCUAUACAUGAAUACUUAUUGGCAAUUAUUUCUAAGUUCUUCAAACCAAAGAUAACGUAAUUUGAUUCACACACAAUGUUCUUGUAAAUGUGGUUCAUAGUGGGUUUUAUAUGCAGCUUAGGACUGUUAAUUGCCAUUUUGAGCCUCACAGUAAAAUAGAGUUCAAUAUGUCGCUGUUUCUAAAGUAUUGAGAAAUGUUUGAGAAAUGCUUGUCUUAGUCUAAUGAACUGUGAAUAAUUUAUUUCUGAGUCCUACUUUUCAGUAUAAGUGGAUCUGACUUUUCUCAGAGCUUCUAAAGUCUAAUCAACUUGUUAUAUUCAUUUAAUUAGGAAAAUCUGUAACGAGCUGUGAAGUGUAUGUACCAACAGACUUUCUUGUUGGGUAAAAUUGGUGUAUUUUCUGUGUGAAUGCGAUUGUGUUUGUUUACACUGACAGGUAGCCUCUACUAAACAAAUCAGGUUUUUAUGGACACGUAUAGGUCAAUAUGCAUAGCACAUAGAUGUUUUCUGAGCUGCCUUUUCUCCUCAAGCUCAGAGAAAAGGUCUUUGACCCUGGUCUAAAAUACUGCCGGGUGCUUAUGGGAUGUAAUAUGAAAAUCAUCAAAACUGUCCUUGGCAGAAUGUUACUUUCCAUUAGUUAAUUAAAGUGGUUUAUUGUUGCCUACAGCACGAUUGCUUUAUAUGUGUUUUUUUUACAAAGAGCAGAUGUUCCCAUGUCCUGCACUGUUUCUCUUUGUUUUGAUAAGUGCAGAAGUGAAGUCACUGUCUGGCAGAUCUCUCAGUGAUGUUUCAGGAGGAAAGGAGAGGUGCUGGGCUGCUGGUGGGGCUGGGGCAGUGGUGGCAUGGGGAGCAGCGCUGGGGCUGUGCAAUGGCACGGAGAUGGCACUGCAGGGUGGGAGGAAGAGUGAGCAAACCUUCAAGCAGCAGGAGCCCAGGGCAGAAACAGACGUCAGGUGGAACUGUCUGCCUGCCAAUGCUUUAUAAACAACACUGUGACAGUAACAAAGUGGGAUUUGGUGUUUUUUCAGGUUGACAGCCCUAACAUUCCAGCGGGAACAUGGAAUUGGGGAGCAGCUGAUCCUAAAAUGCUGGACAAGAUUGAAUGAGGUUGGAAACUCACUCCUAUUACAGAAAAAAAAAUGGAAAACUUCUGUUCUUCAGAACUAAUCUGAUUUUUGUUUUCAUGUUCCAUCCAUGUUUGAUGCAGGAGUUGAAAUCAAAGUCCAAAUGAUAUUUCCAAAUAUAGGGGUCAUUUCAAGUACCUUUCCAUCUCCCUAGCACAGGUUUUUCUAAGGCAUGUUGACAUCUAAUAAUAAUAGGGUCUUUCAUUACAGAAUCACAAAAACCUGGGCCAGUGGCCUUAUGUUCAAUUAAUAUUUAUUUGAUAAUCACAGGUAAAUUAAUUUCCAUUGUUUCUGUUUUAAUUCUAUACAAGAUUAUAAGAUACAACUAGAGAAAAACACAGAGCCGUGAGUAAAUGUUGCUCAUACAAAAUGUUUCUAUUACCCCUUACUUUAAAAACCAUUAAUAGAUUAUUAGGAGAUAUAAACAUAGGAGACCAUGGAUCAUAUUUGCAUAUUAAUGAAAACCAUGAAUUAUACAUUAUUUGCUAUAGAGAGUACUAGGAACAGUAUUCCUUCUUUUUUAAUGGCUAUAAAAGCUGGGGGUUUCCUGGAGCACACAUCACAUCCCCUCUGCAAUACCUUCUAAUAGAAAGCAAGCAAGCCAGCUCUUCAAAGCAAUCUCUCACUAAAUGAAAUAGAUUUGUUUGUGUUGCUUUGCAACACACAAGUGUGACAGUUCAUUUUAAACAAAAUAGUUUUAAUAAUGUCAUUACUAAUAUCUGUUUGGUCAUCUCUCUGAAAAAUGGCAUUUUAAUGGGAAUGUUUCAUUUUAAUAAAUGGCAGAAGAGGCAAGCUGCCCUGAGUCAGCAGGAAGUGGAUAUACACCAGAGAACAGGCUGAUUGUGUUAGAUUCAUCCAGAACAUUGAACAGCACACAGACAGUCCAAGAAAAAGCAACUGGCUUUAUUCAAAUGAUUAGUCUUGCUGCUAUGCUGUCGCGCAGAUUCACACAUUCUUCUAUUAUUCCUUGACCUUGUGCCAAAAACUCCCACUUGAAGUAAUAAUUAGAAUUAGUGUUUCCAGUGCAUGCUUCCAUCUUCCUAACAAACAGUAAUGAAAUGUGGCUUUUACAAAAUAUGCAGUUAAUUAAACUUUUCAAAAACAUUGGUUGAUUAAUACAGUUCCUCUGUGCUAUCCCCUUGCCGUGCCCAACUCUUUCUACCUGAUAUUGGUGAAUCAGAAGAAAAGGACUAGCAGUGAGAUGAGGGACAGUUCAGAAAUUUGCACUUCAAUAUUGCUUAUAUAUAUAUAUUUGUUUUCUUUCUCAUUUUGACUCUGUCUUGGAAUAAACUGGAAAGAUGGCCAUUAUUUGUAAUUGUAGGUUUUUAAGUCUAGGACAGUGUGUGCGUUAUAUAACUACUCUAGGCAUACGCUCAGUGUGAAUAUGAAGAACGCAUAUAUCAAGUGCUGCAAGGUAAUAAGUGGAUUUCUAGGCAAGCUGUUUAAAGAGGUGGCUCAGUACUGUAUUGCUUAAUAACACUAUGCAAAUAGAAAUUCAGAUUUCGUUUUUUUAAUAUUAUCUCCUGCUUUUUUACUGUCUGCUUUAAUUAUCCCAAUGCCAAACAAGUGUAGUCUUUUGAUUGAUGAGAGUUCCACCCCUUUACCCACACCCCUGCAGAUAUGAGGCUCCACAGUUUAGUACCAUAAAUCACUGUGAUUGUAUAACUUAACUACUGUAUGAUCAGAGAUCACAUACAGUGUUAGCCUGAAUACACAUUCAUCCUUCGUUAUGAAUGUUUUUGGGCUAAAUUUAUUCUGGCAGUUUGGAGAAAUAUAAGUUUCUUCAUGUAAGAAAGCAAUGCAUUUUAAAUAAGCAAUUCUUUCAACAACUAGAAAUAAUCACAAAUGUCUUCUAUUUGCAAUCUUCAUUAAUGUGAGUUAUUUCAUCACUUUAGGAGAAAUCCUUUCAGAGAAAAACAACAAUUAAACCCCUCCCCCCUGACAGGCUCUGACAGCUGAGGAUCUAUGGAUCAGCCAUUUUAGUAAUUAACCACAAUUCCUCUGAUUUGUGAAUUUCCAGAUGAUGAGGCAGGAAGCAAGUUACAUCUUGGAGAAAUUGCCCUCAGGAGAGAGGAAAAACUAUUGCGAGGUUGACAGCACAACCUUGUAGCAGCGCAGUUUGCCUUUCCCAGUGGUUCAAGGAGUUCCAAGCACCCUCUUGUAAAUCAUCAGCUCACAUCUAUUUAUUAUCUUCCAGCCCAGUGCACAACACUAUCUGUUACACACGGAUACCAGCAAUAUUACAAGGUGGACUCCAGGGAUAAGAGACAGCCAACCCUGCGCACCUCCCACUCCUGAGUCACACCCGGGGUAACGCCAGGUCCUGCUCGUACCCGCUGUCGGCAGAAAUGAAACAGUACGAACCGUUGUGUUUCAGAGCCUUUUAAAAUUGAUUCUUCAGAAUGCUUGAUCUUACCUGCUGAUAUCCUCGUGUUAUUAUACAGAGGCACGGUCUAUCUGCAUAGCAAUGGACAAAAUGCCUGUGAAAAUAUUGCUAUUCAUUCAAUCGAUGUCAGAGCUGGAGUAGGCACCAGCUACACUAUGCAGUGCUUGUCCUGGAAUAUCAAUAAAUAAAUCAUAAAAGCCAAUGCUUCAAAUAUUGAAAAAUUCA